GUCUGUGAAAGAACAGCUGGAUCUUGUGAAGUGCUGGAAAUUUUCUCUUUAGUGUAAGUGGUCCACGGCUGAAGCAGUCGGACCACCUUUGAAAAUAACGUGUAAUUGUUAUUUCUCAUUUUGCCACAUCCUGUGGAGACAAAAGAUUAGUGUUGUGUCUUUUCAUUUUUUAUUUUUCUUCUUGGGGAAAAUAAUAUUGACAAUGGAGUUGAGUAUAAGCCUGCUCUUGAGGUUCACAGAUGAUACCUUUGAUCCAGAACUUGCAGCAACAAUAGAACAUGAACUUCAUGAGGACAGAGACUUGGGCUUAUUCACCACCAAGUCCCCAGUUCCUAACUCCAGUCCUUUGGAGUUAGAAGCAGGUUGCCCAAAGUUCAUGAUGCAGAAAAACCAUUUUUUCCGAGAUUUAUAGGAUAAGUCCUGUAAUUCCAGAUUGCUUGGCGCCAAUCAGGUACUCAAUAAAUGUUUGUUGAGUGAAUAUGUGAA
rnacentral:lncRNA from 1 species